UACUUUCAUUAAUUUUAUAUUUAUUGAAAAAAUUUAUAAUGUAUAAGAAGUGCAUUUAACUAAUAUUAAAAACAAUACUACAAUCGCCUAAAUAUUACGAACAUCGUAACGCGCGAGAAACUUUAAAAAUAUCAAUAGUUAUCUCGCGAUCGUUGACAACGCGUAAGAAAACAAUCAAGAAAAACAAACUUUUAUAGUUACCGGAUUAGUUCACGUGUGUACUCCGAGAAGAACACAUCGAAGCUCUCUCUUUCUAAACGUGACGACUUUAAGAUUAAUACUUUUGAUAAGUUUUUAUUUAUUUAAACAAUAAAAAAGAAGUGCGCGAAGUUAAACAAACUAAUAAUUAAACAAUAAUAAAUUCGAUUAAAGAUUGCACGUAUUAAAUAUAAAAUAAUUUCAAUUUAUUUUAUUUUAGAUUUCGAUAUUGAUUGAGCGAUUGUUUACAAUGUGUAAUAUCAAGAAAAACAGACUUUUCAUUGACUUUGAUAGUUAUCGAAUCAGUUUACCUUUGUACUCCGAGAAGAACACAUCGAAGCUCUCUCUUUCUAAACGUGACGACUUUAAGAUUAAUACUUUUGAUAAUUUUUUAUUUAUUUAAACAAUAAAAAAGAAGUGCGCGAAGUUAAACAAACCAAUAAUUAAACAAUAAUAAAUUCGAUUAAAGAUUGCACGUAUUAAAUAUGAAAUAAUUUUUAUUUACUUUAUUUUAGUUUUCAAUUUUAAAUUGGCGGUCUAUGGACACGUGUGACGUCAUCAAAAUCAAACCUUUGAUUGACUUUGAUAGUUACUGGAUCAGUUUCGUAUUGUUAUUCGACGAGUGAACAUCGAAAUUCUGACAGGAUGUGUUUCCUGCAAGUAUCAACGAAGACUUAAGAACUUUAUUGCAAUCGUGCGCGUAGCAAUGAAGUAAUCGAAUGUUUGUGUCGCUAAAAUAAAAAUAUCGCGAGGUAGAAGCAGUGUUUAUUCGUUCGCGUUUCGCGAUUUAAACAAUAAGUGUUUUUGCAUGAACUGCGUGCAAUGCAGUCGUUAGAGUCAGUGUUUGUUCGCAAAAGUUUUUUGAUUUUUUCACAGUCGUACAGACUGUAUUUAUAAAAAAUAAUAGAAGUCCGCGAAAUAAAUUCAGUGACCGUUCGUUAAUAAAUAACUAUCGCGAAUUAGAAUCAGUGUAUCACUGAAAAGGAUCUCAACUAACUUCGAUAUGGACCUACCUCAUUUUCAACCAUCUACGAAUCAUCCACCCUCAAUUUCGACUUAAAUCGCGGACGAGUGUUUUGGAGCCAUCGUAGAACUUCCUUAAGUAGUAAGUCAAUUUUUAAGUCUCUCCGAUCACUCAAUCAUGUCGAGGACGAAAGGUCCGAAUCGGCACGAGUGAUUGGUUGUAAUUAAUAAGUAGAAAAGCAUUGAGUGACUACGAAUAAAUUUCUUCGGAGAUUUACUCGUGAAUGGUUUCUUAUUU